AAAAAACACUUGCACUGAGGUUUAUUUGGAAGGCUACGACUCAGUUUUUCUAAACCUGAAGAGAUAUGUCCAAAUAAUAUCCUUUAAUAUCAAGUGUUAAAAGAUUUUGAGUCAAAAGAGAUUAUGUGGAGGUCGAAUCAUUUGGCAUGGUUGUUAGUCCUUUGCAGCAAAAGCAAUGCCCUUCUCGAUGUUAGCUUUCAGUUUGAGCCUCCAAUGUUUUUUCCUCAUACUUGGUGAUUCUGUGGAGGUCUGACUCAAUCACCUCAUCAUUUUCUUUAUUCUCGAUCUUGGUCCUUGAGACAAAGUAAAAAAGAUCAAGGACUGUAGACGCUACAAAAACAAACUCAUAGACCUGAAAAAUGAUCUCACAAAUUAGGCAUUGCCAUGAUUUGAGUAAAUGUACCCCCACCCCACAUCAUUAGAGAUUUGGCAUUUUGAAUCAAAGGUAAGUAGAUCUUUCCUACACCUAGAAUAUAUGGUUCAUUAUGUUUAGUUUCAUCUUUAU
rnacentral:sRNA from 1 species